rnacentral:rRNA from 1 species
AAUUCAGGCCAUACCAACCUGAACAAACCUGAUCUCAUCUGAUCUCAAAGCCAAGCAGGGUCAUAUCUGGUUAGUACUUCGAUGGGAAAAAUUUACAAUUCUGGAGGUUAGGUUUA